CCUGAUGUCCUUACACAGCUCUCUGGUCUUGGCCAUUAUGGAGAGUGUCACGUUCCUGACCUGUUUUCAUUUGUUAUGUAUUUGUUUUAGUUGGUCAGGGCGUGAGUUGGGUGGGUUGGUCUAGGUUUGUUUUUCUAUGUUGGGAUUUUUGUGUUUGGCCUGGUAUGAUUCUCAAUCAGAGACAGGUGUGUAUCGUUUGUCCCUGAUUGAGAGUCAUACUAAGGCAGCCAGGGUUUCACUGGUGUUUUGUGGGUGUUUGUUUCCUGUGUCAGUGUUUGGGCCACACAGGACUGUUUUCAGGUUAGUCACGUUUGUAGAGUUUCGUAAUUUGUAGUGUUUGUUGUUUGUUCAUUAAAACAUGAAUACCUACUACUCCGCAUCUUGGUCUGAUCCAUGCUCCUCCUCGUCUGAGGAGGAGAACGACUAAGACAACCUUAACAGAGAGGUUGGAGUCUGUUUGAUUGAGUGUGUGGACAGGUGCAGUUAAUACAGGUAAUGAGUGGAGAAUAGGAGGGCUUCUUAAAGAAAAACGAACAGGUCUGUGGGAGCCGGAAUUCUUACUGGUUGGUAGGUGAUCAAAUACUUAUGUCAUGCAAUAAAAUGCAAAUUAAUUACUUAAAAAUCAUACAAUGUGAUUUUCUGGAUUUUUGUUUUAGAUUCCGUCUCUCACAGUUGAAGUGUACCUAUGAUACAAAUUACAGACCUCUACAUGCUUUGAAGAGCUCAUGACGUCUGGCUGCAGUUUUGCAGCUGUGAGCUGGAACCUGUCACCCUGAUCCGCCACAGACUCUGGCCUGCCACCCCUACAUCUGCCGCAAACAGCAAUUUCAGUGGACCUCCUGUGCCAGUUUGCAGCCCUGCAGCUGGAGUGUGGGGUGUCUUUGAGGGGGAUUACCUUGGCUUUCCAUAAAUCCAAUUCAUGCUGGAAGUUGAGCUCUACCAGAAGCUCACAAAUGAGUCAUCUGAGGAGUUCAAACAAGGGCAGUUUGAACGAGAGACUAUCAGGAAGUUGGCACCACUGACCUCGGACGGAACGAAGUGUCGUCUCUGUUCACAGGUAUGUCAAUGAUAACAAUUAUGGAACAACUAUAAAGUCUCAGCAAGCUAGGGUUCUUAUUUGCAUUCAGU